GGACUACUGGGGUUUCUAAUCCUGUUUGAUCCCCACGCUUUCGUGCCUCAGCGUCAAUAUAUGCGUAGUAAGCUGCCUUCGCAAUGGGUGUUCUAUGUCAUAUCUAAGCAUUUCACCGCUACAUGACAUAUUCCGCUUACCUCCACAAUAUUCAAGAUAGAUAGUAUCAAUGGCAGUUCUGGAGUUGAGCUCCAGGAUUUCACCACUGACUUACCUACCCGCCUACGCACCCUUUAAACCCAGUGAAUCCGGAUAACGCUUGCACCCUCCGUAUUACCGCGGCUGCUGGCAC
rnacentral:misc_RNA from 1 species